rnacentral:misc_RNA from 1 species
AAUCAGUAUCAGGAACAACUAGCAGCAUUGCGAGCCCGACAUGCCAGCCGUAGAGGUGAGUUCCUCCGCAAGGAGUCACAUGCACGACAACAACAAUAUCAACAAAACAUGGUGGACCGUUAUCCCAGCAGUGGCAUGGGCCCUGGUGAUCCUCAUGGUUACAGUGGAGUUGCAUCCUCAGCUGUUAUCAAUGAAGCUCACCGAGCCUAUAACACUGAUAAUUUUGAAUCAUACAGGGAACGGGCUCGAUUUCUUGGGGGUUCCAGGGAUCAAGGAUUUGAGACUAGAAGUCCAUAUCAUGGGGGCCGUGUUUACGAUACUGGCACACGCUACUACUAGUAGAUUUGGUUAGUUUAGUUUUACUUAGCUGCUACUCCCGCUUUGCUGUUUUCUAGUAAUGCUUCCCCUCGCUUAUGCAUGAAAUCC